GUGGGGAAUAUUGCACAAUGGGCGCAAGCCUGAUGCAGCCAUGCCGCGUGUGUGAAGAAGGCCUUCGGGUUGUAAAGCACUUUCAGCGGGGAGGAAGGCGUUAAGGUUAAUAACCUUGGCGAUUGACGUUACCCGCAGAAGAAGCACCGGCUAACUCCGUGCCAGCAGCCGCGGUAAUACGGAGGGUGCAAGCGUUAAUCGGAAUUACUGGGCGUAAAGCGCACGCAGGCGGUCUGUCAAGUCGGAUGUGAAAUCCCCGGGCUCAACCUGGGAACUGCAUUCGAAACUGGCAGGCUAGAGUCUUGUAGAGGGGGGUAGAAUUCCAGGUGUAGCGGUGAAAUGCGUAGAGAUCUGGAGGAAUACCGGUGGCGAAGGCGGCCCCCUGGACAAAGACUGACGCUCAGGUGCGAAAGCGUGGGGAGCAAACAGG
rnacentral:rRNA from 1 species